UGACAAUAAACUGUUUAGAACCAUGGGCUGUAUCUUUUCAUCAAGAUCUGCAGUGAGGAGCCAUGAAGGAGGCCUUCACCUACAGAGUCUUAGCCUAAUCUCCCGUAGAAGGCCCCUCUACGCCACAACAGCCACCAAGCCUGCCUCCACCUAGAUAAAGACAAUCACCACAUGAGACAAGCCUUGUGCCCCAGCCCCAGGCUAGAUGGUAUACCAGCCCACGGAUCCCACACUCUGUUCUCUGCUCUUUGGUGACUCCCAGUGGUGCCUGGAUAUCCAAGAGUCUGAGAAGAACCCCACAGCCCCAGCCUUGUCACAGGCCCAGGGACCCCAAGCCAGCUCCAAUUUCCCAUGUCUCAGACUGCACCUUCCCACCCCCAGAUCUGUGUCUUGCCACUUUCCUACAGCUCAGCACCCACCUCAGCAGUGGCGGCAUGGGGUAAGCACAGUCAAACUCCCAGCAUUCCACCCAGUGUCAGAGUAGACACAGGCAAACAACCCUACAAGACAUCUCAGAAGUUCUGCUCUCAGACAUGGUGUCUGGGGAUGCUUGCCAUAGAAUACAAGCUAAGGACUUUCCCAAGGAGGACCUUCCCAAGUCUGCCCACCUCAUAGUCUUUUUGGUCUCACGAGCUGCGAUGACCUACUUUGUCUGGGAAAUUAACAGAUAAGGACCCAAGUGGACAAGAAAGUUGUGGAGGCUGAGGGCACCAUGGAAGCACCUCUGUGGUAGUUGCAGGCAUGUGUGCUGUGCAGCACUCUUCAACCUAAGAGCACCAAAACUUUCUCUGCCGAGUGUAUCAGCAACAAAUGCAAAGGCCACUUCCAUAAGAUCUGGUCACCCACAGUAUCACUCAUACUAAGGUGCCAGGGAUUGAACUUGGAUCACCAGGCUUGGAGGCAAGCACCUUUGACAUACUAAGCCACUGCCAUCCAUAAGAACAUUACACAAAGACCUGGAAUCUUCAAAGCCAAACUGUGUAUGAUACACAGAAGUGGGAAAGAGGCAAAUCAUUUAUUUGUUACUAGGUACUUUUUCUUGUGGGAAGAAAGUUUUUUGUUAAUUCACUCAACAUUUAUUGAGAGAUGCAAGCCAUCAAAGAAAUGGCCCCUCCAGAAACUAGACACUACAGACCAAGGGUGAACGCCUAGCCUGGAUCACCGCAGCUCAGGAAGAGGCUGCAGAAACAGAAAGUGCCCUAGAUCCUUGAAGACUUUACAAUUGUUUAAAAUCACUUAAACUCUCUGGUAAAAGAUAUAGAUACUGGCUAAUUAUUACAUAAUUUAUUUUUAUUCAUAACUCUGUAUACUGUUAAUUCUUAAAGUAAUUUCAUUCUUCCUAAUCCAUUAUUAAAAUAUUUUUUUCAUGCCCAUU
ensembl:antisense